AAUUACAGCUAUACCACAUUGAGCACGCCCGAUCUCUUACGAUUUCGGAAGCUAAGCAGUGCUGGGCCUGGUUAGUACUUGGAUGGGAGACCACCUGGGAAGACCAGAUGCUGUAAGAU
ensembl:rRNA 5S_rRNA 5S ribosomal RNA